AGCAGCCGCGGUAAUUCCAGCUCCAAUAGCGUAUAUUAAAGUUGUUGCAGUUAAAAAGCUCGUAGUUGAAUUUCGAGACCGGUUUAUUGGUCGUGCUUUUGUACGUACUGGUAUUAUUGGUUUCUCCUUUCUGACGAAUCUUAAUGCCAUUAAUUUGGUGUUUUGGGGAAUCAGGACUGUUACUUUGAAAAAAUUAGAGUGUUUAAAGCAGGCUCACGCUUGAAUACAUUAGCAUGGAAUAACGGAAUAGGACGUUUGAUUCUAUUUUGUUGGUUUCUAGGAUCGACGUAAUGAUUAAUAGGGAUAGUUGGGGGCAUUAGUAUUCAAUUGUCAGAGGUGAAAUUCUUGGAUUUAUUGAAGACUAACUACUGCGAAAGCAUUUGCCAAGGAUGUUUU
rnacentral:rRNA from 1 species